UAUCUCACCAAGAGAAAGUGGGUACUGGGAGGGAGAUGUAGGAGAGGGGAUGACCCCCAUAAUGGCAGGAGAGCCUCCUCAUUGGCCUAUGUGGAUCCUGAGAUGAACAAAUAAUGUGAGACAUGGUAGUGGGAAGUAAAACGUACCCAACUAUGGCCAAACUUUGGUACGUUGUUAGGAAAGAUCAAUGCUUUUUUUUUUCUUUUCUUUUUUUGAGACAGAGUCUCGCUCUAUUGCCUAGGCUGGAGUGCAGUGGCUCCAUCACCUCUCACUGCAACCUCCGCCUCCCAGGUUCAAGUGAUUCUCCUGUCUCAGCCUCCCGAGUAGCUGGGAUUACAGGUGCCUGCCACCAUGCCUGGCUAAUUUUUGUAGUUUUAGUAGAGACGAGGUUUCACCAUGAUGGCCAGGCUGGUCUUGAACUGCUGGCCUCAAGUGAUCCUCCCACCUCAGCCUCCUGAGUAGCUGCAACUACAGGUGCGCACCACCAUGUUUGGCUAAUUUUUUAUUUUUUGGUAGAGAUAGGGGUCUCAUUAUGUGGCCCAGGCUUGUCUUAAACUCCUGAACUCCCAUCUUGGCUUCCCAAAGUGGUGGGAUUACAGGCAUGAGCCACUGCACCUGGCCCAAGUUAAUAUUUUUUGCCACAAAAGUAAAAAUGUAAUUUUAUAAUGUUGCUAUGGUUUGAAUGUUGGUGUUUCUCCAAAAUUCAUAUGUUAGAACCUAAUACCCAAUGCUACAGUCUUAAGAGAUGGGGUCUUUGGGGAAGUGAUUAAGUCAUGUGGGCUCUGCCCUCAUGAAUGUGAUUAGUGCUCUUAUAAAAGCAGCUGAGUCCAGGCACGGUGGCUCAUGCCUAUAAUCCCAGCACUUUGGGAGGCCAAGGCAGGCGAAUCACUGGAGGUCAGGAGUUCGAGACCAGCCUGGCCAACAUUGUGAAACCCUGUCUCUACUAAAAAUACAAAAAAUUAGCCAAGUGUGGUGGCACACGCCUGUAGUCCCAGCUACUCAGGAGGCUGAGGCAGGAGAAUCGCUUGAACCUGGGAAGUGGAGAUUGCAAUGAGCCAAGAUGGCACCACUGCACUCCAGCCUGGACAACAGAGCAAGACUCUGUCUCAAAAAAAAAAAAAAAAGAAAGAAAGAAAAAGAAAAAGAAAGUGAUUGGAGGAAGCUGCCCUCCACCUCCACCAUGUGAAGAUGCCACAAGAAGAUGUCAUCUUUGAAGUGGAGAGCCCUCAUCAGACAUCACAUCUGCCGGCAUCUUGAUCUUGGCCUUCCCUGCCCUCCAAAUAUGACAGAUGGAUGUAACUGAAUCUACAAACGAGUGUACUUGCCCCAAAUGUGCAACAUAAAUACAGAAGAGAUGAACAGAAGGCUCAUAACCAAUACUGGAACAGGACCAACUUUGAGCCCAGGUGAAUCUUCUGUGUAGAAUCGCCACAUCCGCCAUGUGCCUGCCGAGGUCGUGCGGCCUGCGCUCCUUGUCCCACAGCUGGCAUUUUUCCUCUGCCGGACAGUGGAUCUUGCUGCCCGGGCGGCCACGGCUUUGCUGGGAGAGUGUCCUGAGGAUCCCACAUUAGUGCCACUGGGGGUCGGACCAGGCAUGCUGGAGAUGAGGGUGGCAAGGAGCUGACGCUGACGGAAGGAAAGUUGCGGAGCCCCCGAAGGACCCGCAGCUGGCGAGACUGCCAGGAAUGUUCUUAGAGAGUCAUUUUGGCUUUCAGACCAAGUGAGUUCUUGGGCAGCCUCCUCUUGAGUUGGAUGUUACGUACGGCAAAUGGAAUGUGCCAUGGCUAUAGGAUAGGGUCAAUGAGGGCAGUUUUCCAGCAAAUCAAGUUCUUGUUUAUGAACAUUCUUCCUCCUUUGGAUAUGAAGUCAUAUGCUCUUCUGGGGGCCCUCUCUAAGUCAUACCGGAAGAGGUGGAGACACAUGGCAAUCUUUGAGGUCAGGCAGACGGAGAAAAGCCCUAGGCAAGGUAGAAUUUGUGCAACUGUAAUCUUUGAUAGCCUCACAACGAACUCUGAUCCUGGUCUCAGACUGACCCAUAAUCCUAAACAAAGGGAGUAAUCAAGGGGAGGGCAAGUUACGUUUAUGUUGUGGACCAGGGGUCAGCAAACUCUUUUAUAAAAGGCCAGAAAUAAUAUUUUAGGCUUUGUGGGGCAUAUAGUCUUGAUCACAGCUGCUCAACUUUGCUGUUGUAGUACAAAACCACCACAGGCAGUAAAUAAAUGAGUGAGUGUGGCUGUGUCCUAAUAAAAUCUUAUUUGCAAAAACAGGUGGCAGCAGGCUGGGCAUGGUGGCUUGCGCCUGUAAUCUCAGCACUUUAGGAGGCUGAGGGGGGCGGGUCGCUUGAGCCCAGGAGUUUGAGAUGAGCCUGGACAACAUGGCGAAAUUCCGUCUCUACAAAAGAAAAAAAAAGCAAAAAUUAGCUGGGCAUGGUGGUGCACUCCUGUAGUCCCAGCUACUCAGAAGGCUUAGAUGGGAGGAUCACUUCAUCCCAGGAUGUUGAAGCUGCAGUGAGCCAGUGAUCAUGCCACUGCACUCCAGCCUGGGCAACAGAGUGAGACCCUGUCUCGAAAACACAAACAAACAAACAAACAAACAAACAAAUGCAGAUGGCAGCAGGUUUGGCCCACAGGUCAUAGGUUGCUAAACCUUACUCUGUAAUACCACAAGCAGAAAACUAUGCAUCUCCAAGAAAUACCAAAUCUGAAAUAAGAUGACAGAGCAUGCAACUCCAUAAAAGGGACCCCCCAGAUUAAGCAGUCUUAAAUCUCAGAUCUGACUGUGUGUGUAUGGUGGCUCACACCUGUAAUCCCAGCACUUUGAGAGGCUGAGGUGGGUGGAUCACUUGAGCUCAGGAGUUCGAGACCAGCCUGGGUAACAUGGAAAAACCCCGUCUCUACAAAAAAUACAAAAAUUAGCCACUGUGGUGGUGGGCACCUGUAGUCCCAGCUACUUGGGAGGCUGAAGUGGGAGGAUUGCUUGAGCCCAGGAGGCAGAGGUUGUAGUCAGCUGAGAUCGCACCACUGCACUCCAGCCUGGGCCACAGAGCAAGAUCCUGUCUCAGAAAAAAAAAAAAUCUCAGAUCUAUUAAUUACAAGUUGUGAAACUUUGGAAAAAAGCCAUAACUUCUCUCAUGCUCAGGCUUUUCAUUUGUGAUAUGGAGAUUAUAAGACCUACCCUGCCUACCCCAGAAUGAUGGUGAAGUGCAAAUGGAUGAUCGUGCAUCAACAGCAAGCAGCUCUCAUUACUAUUGUGGAACUGCAGAAACGCCCUUAUGAAUUAAAGACUAAAGCUCUUCAUGGACAAGAUGGUGCUUAUUCACUAUUGAAUCAAUAGUGCCUCCCACAUAUUAGCACUCAGAAUAAAUUUAUUGACUUUAUAAAUGAAAUACAUAUUUCCUUCUUUCAAAUCAAGGUGCCAUUAUUUGAACAGACCAGAGCAGUAGCAGCUGAUAGUGAAACAAUUUGAAAAAAGGACAUGGACCAUUGAAUUUUUGCAGUUUUAGCUAUAUUCAGGGAAUGUUUCUGGACCAAGGUGCUUACACAACUUUGGGCAUGCAAAGAUGAGCUCCCAUCAGGACAUUACAUACACGUUUCCAACUCCCUUCAGAUGUACUGGAAACAUUCCGUCAUUGAGGGGGAUUUUCCCUUGGGCCUUUAUUUCUCAUCAGUAAUAUCCUCAUUGCAAAAGAAUCCUCAGCCAUUUGACUGACUACUCCUGGGGCUUGCUCCAACACUAUAUCUUCCCAUAGAUGGACACGGCCAUGUGUACAAACUCCCCAGACGCAUCAUGCUAGCUUGUUAAGGGUUUGUCUGGUGUUUUACGGGGCAUUAUUGCCAAAAUGAAGGUUAAAGAUACCAGUGUAAUGAAUAUUACUAAUGCCAGCUGGGCGCAGUGGCUCAUGCCUGUAAUUCCAACACUUUGGGAGGCCGAGGUGGGCGGAUCACUUGAGGUCAGGAGUUUGAGACUAGCCUGGCCAACAUGGUGAAACCCCGUCUCUACUUAAAAAAAUAUAAAAGUUAGCCGGGCAUGGUGGCACAUGCCUGUAAUCCCAGCUACUCGGGAGGCUGAGGCACAAGAAUCGCUUGAACCUGGGAGGUGGAGGUUGCAAUGAGCUGAGAUCGUGCCAAUGCACUCCAGCCUAGGCAACAGGGGUG
rnacentral:lncRNA from 1 species